rnacentral:rRNA from 1 species
UACGUAGGGCGCAAGCGUUGUCCGGAAUUAUUGGGCGUAAAGAGCUCGUAGGCGGUCUGUCGCGUCUGCUGUGAAAACCCGGGGCUCAACCCCGGGCUUGCAGUGGAUACGGGCAGACUAGAGUUCGGUAGGGGAGACUGGAAUUCCUGGUGUAGCGGUGAAAUGCGCAGAUAUCAGGAGGAACACCGGUGGCGAAGGCGGGUCUCUGGGCCGAUACUGACGCUGAGGUGCGAAAGCGUGGGUAGCAAACAGG